rnacentral:lncRNA from 1 species
GUUGCCAUGAUUAUUAACCCAGCUGCUGGGCUGACUCCCGCAGCUCCCGUGUUUGCUGUGAGAAUUUCUUCCCCGAGAAGGAUGAGAUCUGAUACCCUCUUCUGGGGUGUCUGAAGACAGCGACAGUAUACUUAGAUAUAAUAAAUAAAUAAAUCUUAAAAAAAAAAAAAAACUCAAGUAGAUCAAGAGCAGUGACCAUCGAAUGAUCCAGGAUGCGACUGAGUUGGAGAAGGCACAGCGGGCUCGGUUCAGCAGCAGCAUCACCUCUGUGACAUUCAGAAGAGCAACAUAAUCACCACUUUGGAGGUCGGUCACCUUACAGGAACAGCUCCAUAAAAUAUAGAAAUAGGGAAAUUGGCUGGAGGCUGAGGAAUCAUGUGGACCUUAUAAGGAAAACAGACAUAAUGUGCUUACUUCUCGUGGCUGCGACACAACCCCUAAGAGUAAACCCAU